UACAGAGGGUGCGAGCGUUAAUCGGAAUUACUGGGCGUAAAGCGUGCGUAGACGGCUAUCUAACUCGGGUGUGAAAUCCCCAGGCCUAACCUGGGAACUGCAUUCGAGACUGCAUGGCUAGAGUAUCGGAGAGGGAAGUGGAAUUUCAGGUGUAGCGGUGAAAUGCGUAGAUAUCUGAAGGAACAUCAGUGGCGAAAGCGACUUCCUGGACGAAUACUGACGCUCAUGUGCGAAAGCGUGGGGAGCAAACAGG
rnacentral:rRNA from 1 species